AGGAAUCUGCCUGGUAGUGGGGGACAACGUUUCGAAAGGAACGCUAAUACCGCAUACGUCCUACGGGAGAAAGCAGGGGACCUUCGGGCCUUGCGCUAUCAGAUGAGCCUAGGUCGGAUUAGCUAGUUGGUGGGGUAACGGCUCACCAAGGCGACGAUCCGUAACUGGUCUGAGAGGAUGAUCAGUCACACUGGAACUGAGACACGGUCCAGACUCCUACGGGAGGCAGCAGUGGGGAAUAUUGGACAAUGGGCGAAAGCCUGAUCCAGCCAUGCCGCGUGUGUGAAGAAGGUCUUCGGAUUGUAAAGCACUUUAAGUUGGGAGGAAGGGCAUUAACCUAAUACGUUAGUGUUUUGACGUUACCGACAGAAUAAGCACCGGCUAACUCUGUGCCAGCAGCCGCGGUAAUACAGAGGGUGCAAGCGUUAAUCGGAAUUACUGGGCGUAAAGCGCGCGUAGGUGGUUUGUUAAGUUGGAUGUGAAAGCCCCGGGCUCAACCUGGGAACUGCAUCCAAAACUGGCAAGCUAGAGUACGGUAGAGGGUGGUGGAAUUUCCUGU
rnacentral:rRNA from 1 species